CCCAGCCUGCGACACCAGUGAAGAGAGCCGAAAAUCGGCUAAGUCCCAAGAGUUUAGCUCUCGGGAACCGGUCUCUCUGAGAGGAACCGGUCUCCAGAGGACCGGUCUCUCAGGGAGGGACCGGUUCCCGAACGCGUGUCCGCGGGGGGAGGCCCCGGGGACCGGUCCCUGGUCGGGGAGACCGGUCCCUCCGCGCGCAGAACGCCUAGUAAGGGCUGUGUAAGAGACGAAA
rnacentral:lncRNA from 1 species